UGGGGAAUAUUGGACAAUGGGCGCAAGCCUGAUCCAGCCAUGCCGCGUGAGUGAUGAAGGCCCUAGGGUUGUAAAGCUCUUUCACCGGUGAAGAUAAUGACGGUAACCGGAGAAGAAGCCCCGGCUAACUUCGUGCCAGCAGCCGCGGUAAUACGAAGGGGGCUAACGUUGUUCGGAUUUACUGGGCGUAAAGCGCACGUAGGCGGACUUUUAAGUCAGGGGUGAAAUCCCGGGGCUCAACCCCGGAACUGCCUUUGAUACUGGAAGUCUUGAGUAUGGUAGAGGUGAGUGGAAUUCCGAGUGUAGAGGUGAAAUUCGUAGAUAUUCGGAGGAACACCAGUGGCGAAGGCGGCUCACUGGACCAUUACUGACGCUGAGGUGCGAAAGCGUGGGGAGCAAACAGG
rnacentral:rRNA from 1 species